rnacentral:rRNA from 1 species
GACGGAGGGAGCAAGCGUUGUUCGGAUUUACUGGGCGUAAAGGGCGUCUAGGCGGAUCGGUCAGUCAGGUGUGAAACCCCCCGGCUCAACCGGGGAUCUGCACUUGAUACUGCCGAUCUUGAGUACGGAAGAGGAAAGCGGAAUUCCUGGUGUAGCGGUGAAAUGCGUAGAUAUCAGGAAGAACACCGGUGGCGAAGGCGGCUUUCUGGUCCGAUACUGACGCUGAAGCGCGAAAGUGUGGGGAGCAAACAGG